GCCGAAAUAGCUCAGUUGGAAGAGCGAUUAGACUGGCUAUCUAAAGGUCCCUGGUUCGAUUCCCGGUUUCGGCA